rnacentral:rRNA from 1 species
UACAGAGGGUGCUAACGUUGUUCGGAAUCACUGGGCUUAAAGCGCACGUAGGCGGCUAGGCAAGUGCGAUGUGAAAGCCCCCGGCCCAACCGGGGAACUGCAUCGUAGACUGCCUGGCUUGAGAGCGGUAGGGGAGACUAGAACUCCUGGUGGAGCGGUGAAAUGCGUAGAUAUCAGGAGGAACACCGGUGGCGAAGGCGGGUCUCUGGGCCGAUACUGACGCUGAGGAGCGAAAGCGUGGGGAGCGAACAGG